rnacentral:ncRNA from 1 species
GUCGUAGUCCGGAUCGCAGUCUGCAACUCGACUGCGUGAAGUCGGAAUCGCUAGUAAUCGUGGAUCAGAAUGUCACGGUGAAUACGUUCCCGGGUCUUGUACACACCGCCCGUCACACCAUGGGAGCGGGUUCUGCCAGAAGUAGUUAGCUUAACCGCAAGGAGGGCGAUUACCACGGCAGGGUUCGUGACUGGGGUGAAGUCGUAACAAGGUAGCCGUAUCGGAAGGUGCGGCUGGAUCACCUCCUUU